AAUAUGCAUGUACACCUACAGUGUAAUUAAAACUCGCAAGCUAGUGUUUUAAGUGGGAGUGAAUGUAGGCGCACUGGGCUGGAGUUAUUUGAACAUCCGGUCCUUCAGUUUUUUGAAAAGAAGACGGACGCCAUUGAAGUUCAGCGCGGGAUAUGAAAAGGGUCGGCACCGUGGACUAAAAAAGUAUCUCACUGCAGCCUGUUCUUUUGAAAGUUUCAUUAAAGAAUUUGCGCUAGUAGAUUCUUCUACUCCAAAUUCUUCACUUUUGAGUGGAGUGGUAUGGGGUGAUAUGGACUCUUCAAACAAGGCACAUCAAUCCACUGGUGCAGGAGGUGAUAACACCUGCCAUAGGAGACGCAGCAGAGAAGGCCAAACGAAUGGUCCAGGAGGUUCUGGAAAAGAGUUCAGGGGGAGAGGAAAUAAUGGAGGAUUAUAGAAGAUCAAGCACCUUGAUUCACUGCACAAGAAGACUUCUUGUGAAUAUUCCAUCAGCCACAUGAUUGAAAUGCAUGGGAACACUUCUACGACCCUGCGAGUGGGACAGGCUAUGGCAUGGCGUCCAGAAACUGCGGCGAUGAGUGUCCCCGCGUUCGGUCAAGAACAACUCGGGGAGCCUUGCAUUUCAUACGUGAACACCAUGAUCAUUGAAGUUAUGUUAAGGUAGCAAGUUACAGUGUGGGUAUACCUCCGGAACACUUAACAAAACUGUCGAUAUGUACUCGAUAACAUGGGUCAAGAUUGAUGGCUCUGAAUAUGGGGAGGGAUUUGUUCUUUGCACUUAAGUCAAGGAUGAAAUUCCAGUGUUUGCCAGUAUUAUUUAAAUUCUCUUAAUUUAUAUUUUAUGUUAUGUUUUAUUUCAGUGUUUUGCUGAACAUUUCCAUGCAUAUGAUUGUGAGGAAAAUGUUUAUUGUUACAGUUAAUGAUUUGUACAAGUGUAAGGCUAAACAAAAUGUCUAUGGGCCGAACAGUGACCUAUAUUGUACCUGUGCACAUUAUUUUAGCCAUGUCAUGCCAAAGGUCAAUAAAGAAAAAGAAAAGUAA